GACGAACGCUGGCGGCGUGCUUAACACAUGCAAGUCGAACGGAAAGACCCUGCGUUUGUGGGGUUCUCGAUUGGCGAACGGGGGAGUAACACGUGAGUAACCUGCCCUUGACUUUGGGAUAACUUCACGAAACUGAGGCUAAUACCGGAUAGGAUCUCCUGCUCCGUGGUGGGGGUUGGAAAGUUUCGGCUGUUGGGGAUGGACUCGCGGCUUAUCAGCUUGUUGGUGGGGUAGUUGCUUACCAAGGCUUUGACGGGUAGCCGGCCUGAGAGGGUGACCGGCGACAUUGGGACUGAGAGACGGCGCAGACUCCUACGGGAGGCAGUAGUGGGGAAUAUUGCACAAUGGGCGGAAGCCUGAUGCAGCAACGCCGCGUGCGGGAUGACGGCUUUCGGGUUGUAAACCGCUUUCGCCUGUGACGCAGCGUGAGUGACGGUAAUGGGUAAAGAAGCACCGGCUAACUACGUG
rnacentral:rRNA from 1 species